GACGAACGCUGGCGGCAUGCCUAAUACAUGCAAGUCGAGCGAACAGAUGAAGUGCUUGCACUUCUGACGUUAGCGGCGAACGGGUGAGUAACACGUAAGGAAUCUACCUAUAAGCGGGGGAUAACAUUCGGAAACGGGUGCUCAUACCGCAUAAUAUCUUCUUCCGCAUGGAAGAAGAUUGAAAGACGGCUCUGCUGUCACUUAUAGAUGACCUUGCGGUGCAUUAGUUAGUUGGUGGGGUAAUGGCCUACCAAGACGAUGAUGCAUAGCCGACCUGAGAGGGUGAUCGGCCACAUUGGGACUGAGACACGGCCCAAACUCCUACGGGAGGCAGCAGUAGGGAAUCUUCCGCAAUGGGCGAAAGCCUGACGGAGCAAUGCCGCGUGAGUGAAGAAGGCCUUCGGGUCGUAAAACUCCGUUAUAAGAGAAGAACAAGUUGUAGAGUAACUGCUACAGUCUUGACGGUAUCUUAUCAGAAAGCCACGGCUAACUACGUGCCAGCAGCCGCGGUAA
rnacentral:rRNA from 1 species